rnacentral:tRNA from 1 species
GCCGAUGUAGCUCAGGUAGCAGAGCGCUCCCAUGGUAAGGGAAAGGUCGCCAGUGCAAAUCUGGCCAUCGGCU